UACGUAGGGUGCAAGCGUUGUCCGGAAUUACUGGGCGUAAAGCGCACGUAGGCGGAUUGCUAAGUCAGGGGUGAAAUCCUGGAGCUCAACUCCAGAACUGCCUUUGAUACUGGCGAUCUCGAGUCCGGAAGAGGUGAGUGGAACUGCGAGUGUAGAGGUGAAAUUCGUAGAUAUUCGCAAGAACACCAGUGGCGAAGGCGGCUCACUGGCCCGGUACUGACGCUGAGGUGCGAAAGCGUGGGGAGCAAACAGG
rnacentral:rRNA from 1 species